UGGUAUUUUACAGAAUCAAUGUGAGGUGAGAUGUCAUUCAUAAUUUCUCCAGAAGUUAAUCGUUUCUGUUAUUAACGACUAAAUCUUGUUUUUAGAUAACUUGGAAAAACUCAUUAAAUCAUAAGAAUAAAUCCUGAAUAAUGUUGUUAGACUGAAACUCCUCCUAAUAAUCAACUUUUGUCACUUCAGAGGUCAAAUUCCUACUCAAACCAAAAGUAGAAUACUAUUACGUUUUUUGUUUGUGUUUUAUUUUUUAUUUAUGUAUGUAUUUAUUUAUUUAUUUGGAGGGAGACACAUCCAGCUAUUAAAUCAGAAACUACACCCAAGUCUUUGAUUGACGCCACUAACCAGAUCAACUAUGCAAUUGUCCUGUCACACUGGAGGAUAUAGUUUGUCCUUUUCAGAUCUUUUUGCGGUCUGGGCUUGCUGUUCCUAGAUCCAGUAGUCAGGAAGCCCUUACCCCAAAAAGUAUUUGCAAAGGAUACAGUCGGCAAUCGGCAGAAAGGUGCAGUCAUUUCUACAAGUUCAAAUAAAGGAGACUGUGCAGUGCCUAAUUGUGCCUUAACCACUUCAAGUCCAGAUGUAAAAAUGAAACCCCUUCCCAGGUACCAGAUUUUGAAAAUAAUAAUAAUAAUAAUAAUAAUGUUUUCAAACCUGUAAUUGCUAUAAAACAUAUGAUGAAUAACACACAAAUAAAUGACCUAAACUGUGUUUUUCAUUACCCCUUUCUGCUCCUGUGUACUACAUACCCAUGUUCAAUAUAGAGAUAAAAACACUUUUUUUUUUUUUGGACAAUGAAAACAAAAACGCUGCUAAUAACAAUAAUAAUCAGUAAACAGUAAUUAUCAAAUAAAAAUUAAACAACACCAAAACGUGUGUCAUUAUUGACUUGCUCUGUGCCAUUUAUUGAAAUGUUCAAUACAACAGAACCCCGGGGUUGCCUUUGCAACCACUGCACAUUUUUCUUGUGUCCUUUUUUUUUGUUUUCAUUUUCGUAGCAGACCCUGCACCUUUUUUGCGGUCUCUGCUUCCCUUGUGUUGGAGGGACUGCCAUUUCAAACCAAACAGCUUCCCGUUUGCAGCUGACUUACCUGUAAAGUAGCUGCAUGCUCUUUUGUUUGUACAGUUUGUACUGUUCUUGGCUCCACAUCCUCUUCAUCAUCAUCGCUGAGUGAUAAGUCAGCAUCACUGUCGCUUCACUCCCGUUGUCGCUCUCCACGUAUGUUGUUAUGUUUAGCUUUCACUAAAAAGUAUAAAUAAACUACAACUAAACAAGUAAAACUAAUAAUAAAACAAAAACUAAUAAUUUAAAACACUAUAUAUAUAUAUACUUGUAAAAGUUGAAUGGCUUCUCGCAAUAUAUCUCAGUCUUCUAAACGCCCACAGCUAGAUUGGACCCUCCCCCGACUUUCAUUACACAUUCCACAGUACUGCACUGCCUUAGAGAAUGAAACCUGAAACACUAGAUUGAAAAACCGAUCAUAGAAUAGAAUGGGAAACUUGACGUACGCAGGUACGGCAUGAUAGUGUAAGUGGGUUUUCAUUUGACGUACAUGCGUACGUCAUGGUGCUGAAGUGGUUAACCAGGCAGGCUCUUUUCAAGUGCAGGUAUAGAGAUUUUAAACUGAUCUGAAUGGCAAAGCAGCCCACAAUACUGCCCACUAUACUUACACUGUAACUAACAGACACCUUUUCAUCAGAAAAGGUCUCUGCUACCUGCUGAUUCUUAAUUUGAAGCUGAAUACCAGUAGACAUGCUUUAAAUUAGAACGUUUAAAUGUUAAACUUUUGUAUAAAAUCAUUAUUUAAUAUCAAAGGUAAAUGGUCUAUUUUUACAAUUGUCAGAAGCAAAGCAAGAUUUAAAAGAAAAAGAACAAAAGAAACUAUGACCUCACACUCUGGCAGGCUCUCAAUCAGCUGCAAAAGCAUUUAGGCCAAUAAAACAAAGUACCACUUAUAAAAAUAAAGAUCAAAGCAAAACAAAACGUUUCAUGCGAGCAUCAGCACUAUUUCUGUUAGAUUUUUUAAAUAUAUUUCAAUAAUGUUUAGGUUGAAUGCAUUGUAGUUUUUUCAAAGCUUUUAUUUUGUUUUAUUUUUAAUCUUAAAAACUUUAAAGCUUACAGUAAACACACAGCAUAUUUUAAAUUAAUCACAAACAAUUUCAGGGACUGAAGUUCUGGUUCGGUUUUAAUUCAGAAAUGAGCAUGCAGUGGCAGAAUCGUUAGUAGGCCAUGCAUCAUUAAUGGAUGGCUCAGCAUGUAGGUCUGUUCUGAUGCGAUGUGUAACAGUGGGAAAAAAAUGACAUCACUCCAG